rnacentral:lncRNA from 1 species
CGUUGGCUCCCAGGAGACUGAGGAGGCGCCAUAACACUCGACGGCCCUUGCCGGCGGAGGUGGUCGCCAGGUCCCGGGUGUCCUGGCUGCAGGUGGCGCAGGUCUACGGGAGACCGUGGUGUCUGUCCUCUCCUAUUCUUAAAUGAAGUCAAAAUGCCAGUGAGACCAGACCCCCAACAGUUAGAAAAGUGUAUUGAUGAUGCUUUGAGAAAAAACGACUUCAAGCCUUUGGUGACACUUUUACAAAUUGAUAUUUGUGAAGAUGUGAAGAUUAAAUGCAGCAAACAAUUCCUCCGCAAGUUGGAUGACUUAAUAUGCAGGGAACUUCAUAAAAAGGAUAUCCAAACUAUUUCAAACAUCUUGAUAUCUAUUGGAAGAUGUAGCAAGAAUAUCUUUAUAUUGGGACAAACUGGACUUCAAACCAUGAUAAAACAAGGAUUAGUCCAAAAGAUGGUUUCCUGGUUUGAAAAUUCCAAGGAGAUUAUUCUGAGUCAGCGACAAUCAAAAGAUGAAGCUGUUAUGAAUAUGAUAGAAGACUUAUUUGAUCUUUUGAUGGUCGUAUAUGACGUCAAUGAUGAAGGUAAAAACCAAGUAUUGGAAAGUUUCAUACCUCACAUCUGUGCCCUGGUUAUUGAUUCAAGAGUGAAUUUUUGCAUUCAGCAAGAGGCUUUAAAAAAAAUGAAUUUGAUGCUUGACAGAAUACCUCAAGAUGCCAACAAAAUACUUUGUAAUCAAGAAAUAUUAACUCUCAUGAGUAAUAUGGGAGAAAGGAUUUUAGAUGUAGGAGAUUAUGAAUUACAGGUAGGCAUUGUGGAAGCUUUGUGUAGAAUGACUACCGAAAAACGGAGGCAGGAGCUGGCAUAUGAAUGGUUUUCAAUGGACUUUAUUGCUAAUGCAUUUAAGAAAAUUAAAGACUGUGAAUUUGAAACAGAUUGCAGAAUAUUUCUCAACUUGGUAAACGGCAUGCUGGGUGACAGAAGAAGGGUCUUUACAUUUCCUUGCUUGUCAGCAUUUCUUGGUAAAUAUGAGCUGCAGAUACCAUCAGAUGAAAAACUUGAGGAAUUCUGGAUUGAUUUUAAUCUCGGGAGCCACACUCUGUCAUUCUACAUUGCUGGAGAUGAUGAUGAUCACCAAUGGGAAGCUGUCACUGUGCCUGAAGAAAAAGUUGAUAUGUACAACAUUGAAGUGAGAGAAUCAAAGAAGCUACUGACUCUAACUUUGAAAAAUAUAGUAAAAAUUAGUAAAAAAGAAGGAAAAGAGUUACUUUUGUAUUUUGAUGCAGCAUUAGAAAUCACCAAUGUGACUAAAAAACUUUUUGGUGGAAAUAAGUAUAAGGAAUUUACCAGAAAACAAGAUAUUUCAGUUGCCAAAACAUCCAUUCAUGUACUUUUUGAUGCAAGUGGAUCACAGAUUCUAGUACCAGAAAGUCAACCAUCUCCAGUCAAAGAAAACCUCAUUCAUCUAAAAGAGAAAUCUAACCUCCAAAAGAAACUUACAAACCCUCUAGAACCAGACAACAGCAGCAGCCAGCGCGACAGGAAAAACAGCCAGGAUGAGAUCACUACACCUAGCAGAAAGAAAAUGUCUGAAGCAUCAAUGAUUGUUCCCGAUACAGACAGAUACACUGUGCGAAGUCCAAUACUCUUAAUCAACACAUCAACCCCGCGAAGAAGUAGGGCACCACUGCAAGCAAUACAUUCUGCUGAGAAGGCUGUUUCUAAAACAUCAGAAAGUGGAGUGGAUUAUGCUGUGUCACUCAAAUCUAGACAAUCUGAUGGAAGAAAUAGAGGGAACAAUAGAGCCAAUCAUAACAAAACUGCUACAGUACAAAACAAAGGACAUGAGCACCAUGAAUCCCCAGACCAAACUUUCAAUGAAAUUGAGGAAACUCUCUCUGAUGCAUAUGCAGUGGAAAAAGUAGACAAGCCUGUAUUACCUGGUGUUUUAGACAUCUCGAAAAAUAAAGCACAUUCCAGAUGGGCAUGUUGGACACCUGUAACAACUAUCAAACUCUGCAAUAACCAGAGAUCCUGUGCUUUACCAGGAGAUACUUUUACCCAAGAUACUGGUGUCAACAAAAAAUGCACUAAACAAAAAUCAGUAUCUGAUGAUGAUUCUGAAGAAACACAAAGGGUAAAAUAUAGUAAAGAUGUCAUCAAGUGUAACAAGUCAGAAGAAGCAGAAGUUUGUGAAAGAAACAUUCAAGAACAAAAUCAUCCUAAAUAUUCACAAAAGAAAAAUACUGCAAAUGCAAAGAAGAAUGAUUGGCAUAUUGAAUCUGAAACAACUUAUAAAUCAGUACUCCUAAAUAAGACAACUGAAGAAUCACUCAUCUAUAAGAAGACGUGUGUAUUGUCAAAAGAUGUGAAUACUACUAUCUGUGAUAAAAGCCCUUCUAGAAAAAGCAUGAGGAGCCAUACAAAGUCAAGGAAAGAACUGAUGUCUGAAGUUACUUCAUGUGAGCUAGAUGAAAUACCAGUGAGAGAAAAUUCAAAAGGGAAAAGAUUUACUGGUACAGCAGAAUCCUUGAUAAACCUAAUUAAUAAGAGGUAUAACUCAAGUGAUGACAUGAUAUCAACAAGAAAACUGAAGGAGCCUCGGGAUGGCAGGUACAGAGAAAAUAACAGAAAGGGAUUUUACUCAGGAUUAUGACUACAUCACAAAGUCUCUUUCACCAUAUCCAAAAGCUGCAUCACCUGAAUUCUUAAACAGAAGCAAUAGAGUGGUAGGUCAUGGAAAAUCACCAAGAAUUAGUGAGACCAGUGCAGUAUGUGUGAGAAAGAGUUGCUCACCUGCUUCAGGACUGCCCUUUUCGCCCAGACACACAACCAAGAAUAAUUCUGUUAUGAAUAUAAAAAAUACAAAUUCAGUGAUAAAUAAUCAAAGAACCCAACAUUGUAACAGCUAUUCAGAUGUAAGCAGUAACAGUUCAGAGAAACUUUAUAUGGAACCCGAAUCUCCGGAUAGCUGUGAAAACCAUGUGCAAAGCAAGAGAGAGGAAAAUCAUGCAGCCUCUCCAUUUUCAUUGUCUAGUGAAAAAAUAGAGAAAAUAUGGUUUGACAUGCCCAAUGACAAUACUCAUGUAUCAGGUCCCAGUCAACGUGGUAGCAAAAGACGGAUGUACCUAGAAGAAGAUGAGCUAAGUAAUCCCAGUGAAGCAGAAGUGCAAGAGGCAGAAGAAAGGGAACAUUUGGUUUCCAAAAAACUAUGUCAAAGGGAACAUUUCGAUCAGCAUACCUCUGAAACUUCAUUAUCAACACCAGAGUUUUCUGUUCCUAAGGACUGGCAACAGGAGUUACAAGGUGCUGGGAUGUUUUAUGAUAACAUCAACUCAGAUUAUAAAAGGAAAACUGACACACAACAUAAAAUCAUGGAUGAUUUUACUACAAAGACAUUGAAACUGACUCAACAACAUCUGUUGGCAAUGGCCUGUCAAGCUCGGGGACACAGGGAUGAAAAUAUUGACAAAUUCCAAGUCACUCUCCUAGAUGAGCUGGAAAAAGUUGAAAAAGACUCACAGACUUUACGAGACUUGGAGAAAGAGUUUGUGGACAUCGAAGAAAAGAUAGUUCACAAGAUGAGGGCAUUUCACCAAAGUGAGCGAGAAAGGUUUCGUGCUUUGAAAACUUCAUUGGAUAAAAGUUUGCUUGUCUAUAAUUCUGUUUAUGAAGAGAAUGUUCUUACAUCUGAGAUGUGUUUGAUGAAAGCAAACAUGAAAAUGCUACAAGACAAGCUACUGAAGGAGAUGCAUGAAGAGGAACUUCUCAACAUACGCAGAGGACUGGAGUCAUUAUUCAAGGAUCAUGAAGGAAACAAUGCAUGAAAUCUGGCUGCUGUCAACACACUUUAUCUGAUUAGUUUUUGUGUAUGAAUGAAAAAAUAAUAAAGUAGCCUUGCAAAUAUGC